AGCGAACGCUGGCGGCAGGCCUAACACAUGCAAGUCGAGCGCCGUAGCAAUACGGAGCGGCAGACGGGAGAGUAACACGUGGGAACGUACCCUUUGGUUCGGAACAACCCAGGGAAACUUGGGCUAAUACCGGAUAAGCCCUUACGGGGAAAGAUUCAUCGCCGAAGGAUCGGCCCGCGUCUGAUUAGCUAGUUGGUGGGGUAAUGGCCCACCAAGGCGACGAUCAGUAGCUGGUCUGAGAGGAUGAUCAGCCUCACUGGGACUGAGACACGGCCCAGACUCCUACGGGAGGCAGCAGUGGGGAAUAUUGGACAAUGGGCGCAAGCCUGAUCCAGCCAUGCCGCGUGGGUGAUGAAGGCCCUAGGGUUGUAAAGCCCUUUUGGCGGGGACGAUAAUGACGGUACCCGCAGAAUAAGCCCCGGCUAACUUCGUGCCAGCAGCCGCGGAAAGAC
rnacentral:rRNA from 1 species